CCGUACUCGAUGAAUUUGUUUUUUUCUUCUAAAAUGAAGUUCUUGUUGCUGGUUUGUUCUUCUAAACCAUAAAUGAAAUAGCACACAUACAUAGGCCAGCUGAAAAGAACACAACAAGAACUUGAUUUCAACUGUUGAAGAAUAAAAAUUGCGUGGGGGUUUUUAUAUCAACAAACAGUUUCCGAAUUUCAUAGAAACACCAAACAGAAAAAAUCAUUCACACACAAGAUUAGAUAUAACAAUUAAAAGUAUUAACCCUAAUAAUUAGUAUGCGUACCUUCUUCUCUUAGUGGCGAAUGGGUUUCCAACAGAAAGCUUGAUGUAAUGCAGCAAUACCGAAGAUAGAGAGAGAUUUUGGAGUAUGGAAACUGAUUAUUUAAGAGUCGCAGCCAAAUUGAAGAGAAGAGUGAAGAAUCGUUCAGAUUUAGGAAAAGAGGGAUUUUAUACUUUAGGGAUUUCAAUUUUCACGUUUGGGUGUGUGAA
rnacentral:lncRNA from 1 species